UGUCCGAUUGUGUAAUGGCAGCACAGCAGUUUUUGGUUCUGUAAGUCUAGGUUCGAAUCCUAGUCGGACAACAA
rnacentral:tRNA from 2 species